GCGGAAGUGGUGAAAUUGGUAGACACGCUAUCUUGAGGGGGUAGUGCUCUUCUGGGCAUACGGGUUCAAGUCCCGUCUUCCGCA
rnacentral:tRNA from 1 species